UACGUAGGGUGCGAGCGUUAAUCGGAAUUACUGGGCGUAAAGCGUGCGCAGGCGGUUUGUUAAGGCAGAUGUGAAAUCCCCGGGCUUAACCUGGGAACUGCAUUUGUGACUGGCAAGCUAGAGUAUGGCAGAGGGGGGUAGAAUUCCACGUGUAGCAGUGAAAUGCGUAGAGAUGUGGAGGAAUACCGAUGGCGAAGGCAGCCCCCUGGGCCAAUACUGACGCUCAUGCACGAAAGCGUGGGGAGCAAACAGG
rnacentral:rRNA from 1 species